GAGGAAGGAAGGAAGGAAGGAAGGAAGGAAGGAAGUCCUUCCCUGGAACUACAGAUCAAUGCAGAUCACAUGACCAAGCCAUAAAGAUGAAUGGAAGGCCAAGCAGGCACAGGGUCCUCAGACUGUUCCCCAGGAGAGCCUUUCUCACCUCUCCCCUUGCAGCUCUCCAGCCCCAUCAGCCUCCUGAGCCAUCUCCUCCUUCCAGCUCUUCCUGUCUAUGACAACCAGAUCUCCCUCUCAGGAAUCUCAGGUGCCAUUCUAAGCCCCUUCAGUGAUGAGAAGAAUAAUUCUCGAAGCCUCACUAGAGAGAUGUGUGAGUGACAAUAUGGAACGAAGGCCUGAUGGUGAAGUUUCAGAAACUAGUUCCUGAGAGUGGUUCAUAUGUUAAGCUGAGGGUUUGAAGAGCUUCCAGAUAGCUGAACACGUGAAGAUUCCUGGAGGGUGGCACCCAAGGAGGGCAUCGAAGCUCCACACCCCUGCCCACCUGCCAUUCGCUAGCAUCUCUUCAUCUGUACCCUUUGUAAUAGACUUUACAAUAAACUCAGUAUUUCCCUGAGCUCUGUGAGCCACUCUAGCAAACUAACUGCACACAAGGAGUGGGCUGUGGGAACCCUGAUCUAUAGCCAGUGGGUCAGAAGCACAGGUAAAACAACCUGGAACUUGUGAUUGGCAUCGGAAGUGGGGGACAUUCUCAUAGGACUGAGCCGUCACCUGUGGGCUCUGAUGCUAGCUCCAGGUAGAUAGUGUUGGAAUUGAACUAAAGUGGAGGACACCCAGCUGGUGUUCGCUGCUGGAAGAUUGCUUGCUGGCUGGUGGGAAGAAACUCCACCCCGCAAACACAUGUCUGGUGUCAGAAGUACUGUGUGACUGCGCUGGGAGGGUGCAGUAGGAAGAAACUGGGCUCGUUACUCCUGUAUGCUCUGAAGGUAUGAUCCUUUUUGCCAGCUUUCUUCCUCUGCCUGCUAUUUCCUGGCUGUCAUCUUUUUCAAAAUUUGCUUUUAAAUAUGAAAAGACUCAUAUUUAUUAUAGAAAAUUUGGAAAAUACAGGAAACACAGAGACAAUAUGGAAAUCAUCUAUAAUUCAAUCAUUCAAAGACAACCACCAUUAACUAUUUGACCUAUAUCUUUCUCAUAGACAGUUGUCCCUCAGUAGCCUGAGGGGAACUGGUUCCAGGACCCCUGUGCAUACCAAAAUCUGUGGAUGCUCAAGUCCCUUAUAUAAAAUGGUGUAGUAUUUGCAUAUAACCUACAUGUGCCCUCCUGUAUACUUUAAAUCAUCUCUAGAUUACAAUAUAAUGUAAAUGCUAUGUAAAUAGUUAUACUGUCUUUUUUAUUUCUAUUAUUUUGUAUUGUAUUGUGUUUUUUUCUGAAUAGUCAUUUACUGCAUAAUGACAUUUUGGUCAAUGACAAACUGCAUAUGUAACGAUGGUUCCAUAAGAUUAUAAUGCAGCUGAAAAUUUCUGGUCACCUAGUAACAUCAUAGCUCUCAUAACAUUGUAGGGCAGUACAUUACUCAUGUGUUUGUGGUGGUCCUUUCAGAGGUAUUCCAGAAGGAGGCAUUGUUAUCAUAGGAGAUGACAGCUCAAUGCAUGUUAUUGCUUCUAAAGACCUUCCAAUGGGACAAGACGUGGAGGUGGAAGACGGUGAUGUUGAUUAUCCUGAGCUUGUAUAAGCCUAAGCUAAUGUGUGAUUUGUAUCUUUGUUUUUAAUAAUAAGGUUUAAGAAGUCAAAAUUAAAAUUAAAGAAUUAAAGAAUAGAAAAAGCUUAUAUUAAUAGAAUAAGAAACAAAGAAAGUAUUUUGUAGAGCUGUAAAAUAUAUUUGUGUUUUAAGCUAAGUGUUAUUACAAAAAAGUCAAAAAGUUUUUUAAAAUUUUAAAGUUUAUAAACUAAAGUUACAGUAGGCUAAGGGUAAUUUAUUAUUGAAGGAAGAAUAACUUUUAGAAAUAAACAGUGCAGCCUAAGUCUACAGUGUUUACAAAGCCUACUGUAGCAUACAGCAAUGUCCUAGGCCUUCACGUUCACUCACCACUCACUCACUGACUCACCCAGAGCAAUUUCAGUCCUGCAAGCUCCAUUCAUGAAAAGUACCCUAUACACGUAUACCACUUUGUAUCUUUUAUAUUGUAUUUUUAUUUCACCUUUUCUGUGUUUAGAUACACAAAUACUUACCAUGGUGUUACAACUGCCUACAAUGUUCAAUACAGUCACAUACUUUACAGUUUUGUAGCCUAGGAGCAAUAGGCUAUCCCACAUAGCCUAGGUGUGGAGUAGGCUCUACCAUCUAGGUUUGUGUAAGCACAUUCUGAUGUUUGCACAAUGAUGAAAUUGUCUAACAAUGCAUUUCUCAGAAUGUAUCCCUAUUGUUAAGUAAUGCAUGACUGUAUAUUCCAUCCUCAGUUGGUUGCAUCCAUGGAUGCAGAACCCAUGGAUACAGAGGGCCAACUGUACAUACAUACUGUCUUAGUCCAUUUUCUGUUGCUAUAACUGAAUACCUGAUACCAGGUAAUUUAUCAAGAAAAGACAUUUAUUUCUUAAGUUCUGGAGGCUGGGGAGUCUAACGUGAAGGUGCCAGCAUCUGGUGAGAGCCUACUUCCUGCAUUAUAAUGACAGAAGUCAUUAUGUGGCAAGAAGGCAAGAGCAUGCCAGUUCAGAUCUCCCUUCUCUUAUAAAGCCACCAGUCCCAUCAUGGGCCCACCCUGAUGACUUUAUCUCAUCCUAGUUACCUCCCAAAGGCCCCACCUCUAAAUACCAUCAACAUAUGAAUUUGGCGAUUAAAGUUUCCAAAACAUUGAAACCAUAGCACAUGCUUUUAGUUUUAGCCAAGUUAGUACCAUACAGCACAUAAAUUAUAUAUUGUUGACAAUUCCACUUCCUGUAUGGACAGACUAGGUUGGUUUUGGACCAACCCUCCCCGAGAACUAGAAAAGCUGGAUAACAUAUAACAAAAUAUGUUUGAAGGCUUCUGAAAAAUGGUCAAAGCAAUGAAACUUUGUGGUGUUACAAUCUGAAAGAGGAAGGAAAUCAAGAGAAAUGAACCUGGAAUUUGGGGCCUCUCUGCCCCUCAAAGCAACAGGUAGAUUCCAUAAGCAAGAAGAGUGACAGGGGACUGAUAAAUCAAUGAGCUUUCAGCCGUCUGGUGAGGCAAUGUAACCAAAAUGGAGGUCAGGAUUCACUCGGGAGGAGGGAUCCUGGUAACACCCCAGGAAUUCUGCUGGGACCCCAAAGGCCUGUGCUCUAGUUAUAAGAGUAAAUCCACCCUCACAAAGAAUGAAGCCAAGCUUCAAAUCAUGUCAAUUCAAUCUAACCUUUGACUAGCUAACAGCCAGAAGCAAACCUUCCUCUGAUGGAAGAUAACAUCACAUAAAACCUCAAAUUAUCCCUACAUUUUUCAAACACUGUUUCACCCUUAAAAAGGUAGAUAAUAGAGAAGGCUAGAGAGCUGUCUUUACUGGGGAAAUAGCUGUGGCAGAUCAUUGCACCAUAGAAUGUGAUUAGAAAAGCAGAUCAAUAUGCAAGAGCCAUAGUUAAAGGCAUCACAGAGCCUAGGAGCCAAUGAAGACUAUACAGGAUCAGAUUCUGGGGAGGGGAAUCUGCAGAGAGGAAGCUGGCGAUCUCUGUCAAUUCUGUGAAUAGGUAAAAAGCUGAGAAACUUUGCCCAGGCAGUGAGUCACUCCCAGGUGAUUGAGAAACCAUCAGAGCUUCAGAAGUCUUACGAGGUGUAAUUGAUUAAAAUUGGAGACUUGAGGACUCUCAAAAAUGUGGUUUGUUUUGCCUCAAUAAGUUGGCUAAAUUCUGUAACUGUACAAGGAAUAUGGCUAAAAUUUCAAGCAGAGAAUUUUGGGCAGUUUUAUGGUGUUGAGGAGAGAAAGAUUAGAAUUUAGGGCCUGCCCGGGGAACAUGUCUCAGUGAACAUUUCAGAGAAUCAAUUAGAAACCCUGGAGGUCUAUGCCCCAGGAUCAGGAGCUAACCAGAGGCAACAAGCUGCACUGGAACCAGAACGACUUCAUCCACCCUCCCAGUUGCUGCUACACCCUGCCUCUCAGGCCCUGAGCUGAAGCAGCACCCAUCUCCCAGGGCAUCAAUGCCUUGGCUACCCAGAGCAGUCACACUCCCUGGUGCUGGAGCUGAAGUGGCACUGUGUCUUCCAGGGAAUUCUUGCCUUGGCUACUCAGGGUAGUCACACCCCCAGCACCUGAGCUGAAGUAAUGCCCUACCUCCCAGGGAAUCAGUGCCUUGGAUGAGCCUGGCAGCUGUACAUCCCAGGGCUGAAUUGACAUGGCACCUUGCAUCCCAAGAAAACAGCAUUGAGUGAGCUGAGACCACCUACCAGGCCAAACAACUGUAGAACCUUGUCUUCUUGGAACUGGACUACCUCUCGCCCUUGACACCACAAGAUUCUGAGCUGCUGAGGCACCCUGCCUCCUUGGAAAGUGGAGCCAUUGCUGUGCUGCUCCAUGUCCCCUGGGGCCCAAGCCACAGCUGAACUCUGCCAUUCCUGGUCCUUGCUGUCUCAUGGAGCCAGGGACACGGCUAUGUUGUCUCAUCAUCCCUGGGUCCAGAGUCACCACUACACAGUGCCUUAUCGUCCAGGACCUGAGUUACUGCUGUGCCCUAUUGGCUCCAUUUCCCAAAUUAUAGCUGUUCUCUGCUCAUGGACCUGAAUCUCCAGAGCACCCCUUCUCCCCUGGAGCUGAGCCAGUGCUGUGCCCUGCCCUUCAGGGUCGGAGUCAGAGCUACCAUCCAGCCUAAUGAGCCCGAGCUGCUGGAGUGUACCUCAAAGCCACAGACACCAGCUUUAUUGACCAUCUGCAUCUACCUAUGCCUCAGAGAGUGAACCUUCACUCCAAGUGCCAGCUGCCACAGUAGGUUUGUGAGACCGUGAGCCCAAACUCAGGUUUUAAAGCCACUCUGAGCACCUGUACCCUGGAACCUAGCACCACUGCAGCCACUUGUGGGCCAUGCCAGACCCAACAUGAGGAGAGAUGCCCUCACCUAAGACUCUUCUUAUGGAGGAAAUGAGAAUGGGAGGACCCUAAAAGCUCUUGCUACUGAGAACUCUAACAGCACACACUUCUGCCACUGCUGUCACAAACUCUGGCAGCCUAGGCCGGUGAGGUGCCCACAGUCAUUCUUGACCUUGACUGCAGCUGAAGAAGCUGCACAGAGACUAUACCACUGCCUCCACUUGGAAUCAGGGCCACCACACCCUGCCCAAACAGCACCUUAAGACCCACCUGCAGGUGAAAGUCUUUACCUACAAAAGACACUCUGUAAAUUUUGGAAGAGGUGACUGUUCCACCAGAUGCACAGACAUCAAUACAAGGAUAAAAGAAACAUGAAAAAGCAAGAAAACAUGACACCACCAAAGGAACACAAUAAUUCUCUAGUGACUGACCUCAAAGAAAAGAAAAUUUAUCAAUUGCCUGAAAAGGAGUUCAAAAUAAUAUUUUUAAGAAAAUUCAGCAAGAUAUGAGAUUCAGGAUACAGAUGGACAACUCAAAAAACUCAAGGAAACAAUUCAUGAUCUGACUGAGAAAUUCAACCAAGAGAUAGAUAUUAUAAAAGAGAACCAAACAGAAAUCUUGUAGCUGAAGAAUGCAAUAAAUGAAACAAAAAAUACAGUAGAGAGAUUCAACAGCAGACUAAAUCAUGCAGAAGAAUCUGUGAACUUGAUAAUAGGUUUUUUGAAAUUACUCGGGGUAGGGGAAAAGGAAAGAAAAUAAAAAAGUAAGAUGGCCUGCCUGACUUAUUGGAUGCCAUUAAGCAAAAUAACUCUUGCAUUACUUAUGUUCCAGAAGAAGAGACAGAGAAAGGGAUAAAAACUUCUUUAAUUAAAUAAUUGCUGAAAACUUCCCAAGUCUUGGGAGAGAUAUAGACAUCCAGAUCCAUGAAGCUCAAAGAGGUUCAACCAAAAGAGGUCCUCCUCAAGACAUAUUAUAACUAAACUGUCAAAAGUAACAAAAUGAGCAUUUUGAAAGCAGCAAGAGAAAAGCAUCAAGUCACAUAUAAGAGAAUCACUAUUAGGCUAUCAAUAGAUUUCUCAAGAGAAACCUUGCAAGCCAGGAGAGAAUGGCAUGAGAAUGGGAUGAUAUAUUCAAAGUGCUGAAAGAAAAAAAAAAAACUGUCAGCCAAGAAUACUAUAUCAAGUAAAUCUGCCCUUCAUAAAUCAAAGAGUGGAAAAGAUAUAGAAAGAAAAUCAGAGUGGAAAAGAUAUCCAAAGUCUAACCAAAUGAAAACUGGAAUGGCCAUCCUAGUAGCAGAAAAAUAGACCUUAAAGCAAAAAGUUACUAAAGUUAAAGAGGAGUAUUUCAUACUCAUAAAUGUUAAUUCACCAGAAAGCUAUCACAAUUCUAAAUCUAUCUGUGUGCGACAACAUAGUUUUAAAAUAUUUCUUUAAAAAAGCAAAAAUUGACAGAAUUAAAGGGAAAGAUGACAAAUUCACACUCGUAGCAGAAGAGUUUAAUAAAUCUCUCUCCAUAGCUGAUAAUGGACCCAAUAAAAUCAGCAAGGAAUGAGAAGAAUGAAACACAUAAUUGGCAAAUGUAUAGCACCACAUGAUUUCUUUCACGUAAUGUUCAAAAACUGGCAAAAUUAUGUCAUUAAAAUCAUGCCAGUGGCUACUUUUCAGGGGGAAAAAAGCAUAGUUGUUGGAAAUGAACAUAAAGGAGAGUUUUUGGGGUACAGGCAACAUUCUAUAAUGUUCUAUUCCUUCAGCCGGGUUGUACUUAGAUGAGUAUGUUCAUUUAGAGAUAAUCAUUGAACUGGUAUAAUCCAAUUUCAAAUGUGUAUUAAAUAUAUUUGUGUAGUUCAAACACUACACAUAGCAAUAAAAAACAAUUUUAUCCACAUAUCAAACUAAGUAAAUCUUGGAAAUUGUGUUGAAUGAAAACACAUAGAUAGAGAUUAAAAAUUUUGUAAAUUAUUUUAAAAUGCUAUAUAUUUUUAUAUAGAUAAAUAUAUGUAGUAAAGGUAUAACUUCUGAAUAAGAAGAGUAUGUACCAAUUUCAGAUAACUCCAUAGUUAUCUAUGGAGCAGUAGGGAAGGGAAGACUAUAAAAGAGGACUCAAUGAUAUAUGCAACCUUUUAUUUCUUAAAACAUUCUUAAGUAAAUAUGGCAAACUGUCAACAUUUGUUAAAUUUGGCUGGAGGGUAUAUGGAUGUUUGUUAUAUUUGCUGUAAUUUUCUAUAUAAAAGAUUUCAUAAUUAUUUGUUUUUAAUACUGCAAAUAUGUUCUCAUGUUAUCAGAUAUUCUGAAAUAGCAAAUUUUAAAGACUUAUUUUUACUAUUAUAAAUAUUACUAUAAUAAACAUCCUUGCCUUAAAUACU
rnacentral:lncRNA from 1 species